UGCCAGACUCCUACGGGAGGCAGCAGUGGGGGAUAUUGCACAAUGGGGGGAACCCUGAUGCAGCGACGCCGCGUGGGUGAAGAAGUCUUUCGGUAUGUAAAGCCCUGUCGGCAGGGAAGAAAUUGGACGGUACCUGACUAAGAAGCCCUGGCUAACUACGUGCCAGCAGCCGCGGUAAUACGUAGGUGGCAAGCGUUGUCCGGAUUUACUGGGUGUAAAGGGCGUGUAGCCGGGAAGGCAAGUCAGAUGUGAAAUCCGGAGGCUCAACCUCCGAAUUGCAUUUGAAACUGUUUUUCUUGGGUACUGGAGAGGCAGACGGAAUUCCUUGUGUAGCGGUGAAAUGCGUAGAUAUAAGGAGGAACACCAUUGGCGAAGGCGGUCUGCUGGACAGCAACUGACGGUGAGGCGCGAAAGCGUGGGGAGCAAACAGGAUUAGAUACCCCUGUA
rnacentral:rRNA from 1 species